rnacentral:rRNA from 1 species
CAUCUAAGUACCCCAAGGAAAAGAAAUCAACCGAGAUUCCCCCAGUAGCGGCGAGCGAACGGGGAGGAGCCCAGAGCCUGAAUCAGUGUGUGUGUUAGUGGAAGCGUCUGGAAAGGCGCGCGAUACAGGGUGACAGCCCCGUACACAAAAAUGCACAUGCUGUGAGCUCGAUGAGUAGGGCGGGACACGUGGUAUCCUGUCUGAAUAUGGGGGGACCAUCCUCCAAGGCUAAAUACUCCUGACUGACCGAUAGUGAACCAGUACCGUGAGGGAAAGGCGAAAAGAACCCCGGCGAGGGGAGUGAAAAAGAACCUGAAACCGUGUACGUACAAGCAGUGGGAGCACGCUUAGGCGUGUGACUGCGUACCUUUUGUAUAAUGGGUCAGCGACUUAUAUUCUGUAGCAAGGUUAACCGAAUAGGGGAGCCGAAGGGAAACCGAGUCUUAACUGGGCGUUAAGUUGCAGGGUAUAGACCCGAAACCCGGUGAUCUAGCCAUGGGCAGGUUGAAGGUUGGGUAACACUAACUGGAGGACCGAACCGACUAAUGUUGAAAAAUUAGCGGAUGACUUGUGGCUGGGGGUGAAAGGCCAAUCAAACCGGGAGAUAGCUGGUUCUCCCCGAAAGCUAUUUAGGUAGCGCCUCGUGAAUUCAUCUCCGGGGGUAGAGCACUGUUUCGGCAAGGGGGUCAUCCCGACUUACCAACCCGAUGCAAACUGCGAAUACCGGAGAAUGUUAUCACGGGAGACACACGGCGGGUGCUAA